UCUUUUACAACAAUUUCAACAAUUUAGAUCGGGUUCAAGCUAUAUUCCUCCUGGUAUUGGUGAUGAUGCUAAUGACGAUGAUGAUGUCGAUGAUGAUGCCGCCGAUGAUGUUGAUGAUGAUGCAUGAGUGUUUGGUUGGUAGGUGAAGAUGAUGGUGGUAUUGAUGUAAAAAUAUGUAGAAGAAGGAUUUGGACUGAGAAGGAUCUCCAUAAGAUUAUCUUCAACUCUAUCUUUUUCAUGUUCUUGUAUGAUAUUGGAAUUUGGAUACUAUGACAUGUUUGUUGUAACUUUAUUGUAGUGUUUGGU